rnacentral:rRNA from 1 species
AGGUAUAGGUUUGCCUACUGAAGCCCUUUAGCCAGCGACUCUAAAGAAAAUCAGCUAUAGUCGCCCCCUUUUGGGGGUUGGCGACGCUAUUCAAUUCUGUGUCUGGAAGUGCUCCCUACUAUGGGAGUACCACCAGCAGCUCGUUGCAUUCGAGUUCACAGGUCAAACGAUAGCGGCCACUUUUGGUGGUUGAGAUAUGAUCGGCCUCCAGCUGUCCACCUAGCUGGGGAGAUUUGCGGAACCUGCGGAAGGAUCAUU